rnacentral:rRNA from 1 species
GACAUAGGUGGCAAACGUUAUCCGGAAUUAUUGGGCGUAAAGGGUGCGUAGGUGGUUUAAUAAGUUAUUGGUGGGAAAACGGGGCCCAACUCCGUGGAAGCUAGUAAUACUAUUAGACUAGAGGACCGGAGAGGUUAACGGAAUGGCUCGUGUAGGGGUAAAAUCCGUAAAUACGAGUUGGAACACCAAAAGGCGAAGGCAGUUAACUAUUCGGUUCCUGACAUUGAGGCACGAAAGCUAGGGGAGCAAACAGG